CCUACGGGUGGCAGCAGUGAGGAAUAUUGGACAAUGGACGGAAGUCUGAACCAGCCAUGCCGCGUGCAUGAUGACGGCUCUAUGAGUUGUAAACAGCUUUUGUACGAGGAUAAUAGUUCUUGCGUGUAGGCAUUUGGAUGUAUCGUACGAAUAAGAAUCGGCUAAGUCCGUGCCAGCAGCCGCGGUAAUACGGAGGAUUCGAGCGUUAUCCGGAUUUAUUGGGUUUAACGGGUGCGUAGGCUGUUUGAUAAGUUAGAGGUCAAAUGUCCGGGCUUAACCCCGUGCCUGCCUCUGAUACUGUUCGACUAGAGAGCGGAUGCAGCAGGCGGAAUGAGUAGUGUAGCGGUGAAAUGCUUAGAUAUUACUCAGAACACCGAUUGCGCAGGCAGCUUGCUAAUCCGCAUCUGACGCUGAUGCACGAAAGCGUGGGUAGCGAACAGGAUUAGAUACCCCUGUAGUC
rnacentral:rRNA from 1 species